GGGACUCUCCUGUAUGUCUGCUUCGAUAAUCUCCCUCCAAGAUUCUGUUCAAUUCUCACCUGCGACGACAAGGAGCCGCCACCCGGUGCCGCCCCGUUACCUCUCAGUCUCCGGGGACGGGGGGGUUUGGGGGGUUUGGGGGGGGGGGGGGCAGUGCGUCAACGGGCCCCGAUGGAGAGAUUAACCCCGCGCGCAACUUGGAUACAGUUUCUGGGCUUCUCUCCCCUGCCGGAGAGCGGGAUUUAAAGAGGGAAGUGCGCACGCGGGGGACACGUGGGUUCCCGGAGGGGCGCCGUCGGACCCGGUCCCGAUGCGCGCGCGGAUCGUCCCCUCCAGCCGCUUCAGUCUCCUCUCCGAGCGGAACCAGAAAUGUGUGACGGGGAGUCGUCCGGCCCGGGGAGGCUGAUCCCCGGGUGUUUGCUCCGGGUUUGAGAGGAGAUCCCUCCGGGACCGGAAGCUCCGGAGUUCAGCGCGCUCACGGAUUACCGCUUCUCCUCCUUCUCCUCCUUCUCCUCCUCCUGAAACACCGACGCGCUCUACUUCCAUGUCUGAGAAGGUAAACGAACAUGUUUCCAUACACGUGUCGCUUUUCUUGUCCCGCUGGUUUGAAAUGUCGCCGUCCGUCACGGCUCGUCCAGGGUCUCACUUCUCAGAAGCUUCUCUGGUCUCAUUACGCGGCAUCAUCACGCCAACAUUCAGCUGUCAGGUCCUCAUUGUGCUGCUGCAGAAUGGUCACGUGAGUGUCUUUGUGGCUUCCUGCCUCUGUUUGUUACUGAAGCAAAAAGUCAUCUAUAAAAGAAAUAAAUGAUAAGAUGCUUUUCAAUGAUGUGACGCCCCUGCAGGUCGAUCCGAACGGGGUUUCUGUUUUCCCUUCACAGCUCUGGGUCAACAGGUCGAGACUCGCUCUCUCGCUCCGUUCUCUCUCUCCUCUUUUGGGGGCUUCGGUGUGCAUCAACCCCCUGGUUGUUGUGGGUAAAUAUUUGCUCUGCCCGCUGUAGAGAUCUUUCUGGAGGAAAGCGGGCAAACAGCCAACAGGCGGCGCUCUUUGUGCUGGUGAGGAGUCACCUGCUCCCCCUCAAAGAACCCACGAGGCACAUUAAUGACACCUUUAAUAUUUAUACGGUGACAAGAUGAACACAAGUGUAUCUGAUGGACAGCAGUCUUGGCUCGCACAUGAUAAAUGAAUGGAUAAUUAGAGGGUUAGAUGGAUGGAUGAAUGGGUAGAAGAUAGAUGGAUGGAUAUUUAACAGAAGUAUAGAUGGAUAUACAUGGAUGCCAUGGGUUUCAAUAGAUUGAUGAGUAGAUGAUGCAUAGAUAGAUGGAUGUGUAGAUGGACAGAUGAUAGGGCAGCAAUGUAAAACGUCAUGGCUUAACAAAAAAUGCAACGUAAGUCGCUUUGGAUAAAAGCGUCAGCUAAAUGACCAGUAAUGCAAUGAUAGAUGGAUUGAUGGAUGGAUAUAUCAAUGGAUGGAUGGGCAGAUAAAUGGAUAUUUAAUAGAUGGAUGUGUAGAUGGAUGGAUGAUAGAUGGAUAUGUAGGCAGAUAAAUGGAUAUUUAAUAGAUGGAUGUGUAGAUGGAUGGAUGAUAGAUGGAUAUGUAGGUAGAUAAAUGGAUAUUUAAUAGAUGGAUGUGUAGAUGGAUGGAUGAUAGAUGGAUAUGUAGGCAGAUAAAUGGAUAUUUAAUAGAUGUGUAGAUAGUUGAUGGAUAUACAUGGAUGGAUAGAUUGAUGUGUUGUAUGUGUAGAUGGACGGAUAACGUAGCUAACGUAACGUAGCUAACGUAAUGUAGCUAAUGUACCGUAGAUACGUUAGCACAGUAUAAUAGCCAGUUGUACUGUGGCAUCGUGCACAUGUGACCAGCAGCUCCACUGGCCCUCAUUCAGUGGUUCCAGAUGUUCUUCAUUACAUAUCUACUCACCGGUCACACCUGAAGGCUACAGAACGCCACAUCUUUAACCUCUGAGGAGCUUUAGAGGAGCGAGAGAGGCCAGUUCAUACAACCCAACUAAUGAAUAGGGGUGGGUAUCGUUUGGCUUGGUUCUGAUUAAAAUGAUACCGAUGCCAAAAUGGUGCCUGAACCGAUCCUUUAAGAAAAGACACAGAAUCAACCAAUGACGACAUUAAGGAAAGGUUUUCUUUUAUUGGCAAAGGUAAUUUCUUUCUUUGAAUUGAGCAAUAUAUUAACUAUUGAAACAAUACUGUAAAUAUAAAUGAAUACAUAAACACUCUUGGUUUCAAAAUACAGCUUCAAACUUUUUGACUUCAAACUAUGAACAAUAUAUGAAGUGUUUUUGUAGUUCAGUAGCCCUGCGUCGUCGUACCUGGGUGAGCUUCACUUCCUGCGUCGUCCCCUGGGAUUAUCUGCCGUGUCCCCGAUUGUUUCCACACAGUCCCAGUGUAUUUAGGCCAGGUGGGUUUAUUGAGCUUCAUAUGUCGAGUGUCGUGUGGUGAGUUUUGCCCCCCAGGCCUUUUGAUUUUGUGGAAUAAAGCCGUUUUUGUUAUUGAAAUCUGCAAUUGAGUCCUUCUGCCACGUCAACCCGUGAUGCUCCGGGUUUGUCUGGUUUUACUGGCGUCAUGACACAGAAGAGCCGCGUUCGGCACGAGAGCAUAUAGUUUAUCUACCGUGUGACAUCAUUUCUAUAUUUAGUUAACGCUGUGCUGUGUAAAAUGAAGACAAGACGAAGAGAAUCAAAGGAUCUCCUGUCGUUCGCGUGAGCUUCUCGGUAUCUUCUGCUGUACCGAGGUACCUUCUGCACUAUAAGAGACGACUUGAGUCUUUCUUCUCCAGAAUUGAGUUUUAUUCCCGUUUCUUAUAUUUGUGUGUGUGUGUGGAAACGUCGCCUUUAGCGCUGUUACACAAGCGUAUUAAAGCAGGUGUUUGAGGGCCUCAGAGGCGCUGAGCUGCUGAGGGGAGUCAGGAAGUGUGACGGGGGGCUUCUUCAAGCUCGUGCAGGGAGGGGUCAACCUCCAAGACUACAGCCACUAUCUGCUGACUCCACGACGAACAGGAGUUCAGCUCCGUCUUCUCUCAUCCAACAUCAGUUCCAAAUACAAGGGAUGUGGAGACCGGACGCUUCCAUUUGCCAGCAUUGCAAAGACCACCUGUAAGAAAAGAGACGGAUCGUUCACAGAUUUCUGCUUCUUUUAGAUGGAUUUUUAUGGCAAAUGGUGCCAGAAGAACGAUAUGUUGAGAUGGAGGGUGUGUAAACGAUAAAAUAAACUUUUAUUUAGUAAUAAAAUCCCCAAAUGAUGUGCCAUGGUCCAGUUUAGUCAGCUCAAGUAAUACUAAUGAUGACUAACAGCAUCUGAAGAGUCCACCGAGGAAGUCUUCCUAAACCCCGGCAGGCUAAAGGUCACGUGGGCGCUGAGUUACUAAUUCAUCAGUCAUUGGUGAACUCCGAGCAGAUGAUUUAUUCAGGCGCAGCAGACAAAAUAAAGCUUUUAGUUUUUCCACCUUUCUUGCGUCGUUGUCUCUGGACUGUGAGUUUCUUCCUCUCGUCCACGCGAGACUCGCUGGGAUCAACACGUCCUCCGAACCGAGGCCCCCGGCACACACACACACACGCAUGUAACAUGUAAACAAUGACAAACAAACGAUAAACACACACACACACACACACACACACACACGUAAUGGACUAUUUGUCUCUGCCCAGCUGCUUAAUCAGCUCUAUUGAUUGUGUGUGUGUGUGUGUGUGGAUCACUGGUCAAUGACGUGUCUCAUGCAUUCACACAUGUUGCCUCACUGCGUAGUCGUAGAGGUUUUCUUCCAUCUGAUGCAACGCAACUGUAACACAACGCGACAAAAACACGACGCAACGCAACGAAAACCAAACACAACUCAACGUCUCGGCGACUCACAGAAGUGACCUGGUGGAUCUUCAUUGAUUUCCAUCUCUUCGACACAUUUGGCUAGUGUGACUUUUCCUGAUGGAGUAGAGACCUGUCAAUCACGCUGUAGCCCCGCCCCCAAAGCACAUUAAAUCCACUAAAAUGGGCGUUCCACUGUGUUGAAGAGGACUUAAACUAAACAUUGAGGCCACACGCUUUUGUUUAGGGAUUUCUAACCUGUCUUCAUGUGAGACUUUCAUCUGCAGGUCCUUUUCUAGAUGAAUCUUCUCCUGUUAGAGUCUGAAAUGAGAAUUUAACUUGAAGAACCACUUCCAGCCGUCGACUCGUUGUGUUGUUCACGUUUAAUCAGCACGACUGCGUCCUCUGAGUGACCAUCACGCAGGCGGCUUCCCAAAUAUCACAUCCCCCCCCACCCCCCCCCAUCCUCUCACAUGUUCUCUCUCUCAUAUCUGUAAUUAAUCCUCGCUCGCCCACGUUCUCGUUCGCCACCAGCCUGCAAUAUCGCCGCCAUUGUUUUCCGCUCCCACUUCAGUUUGAGGGAAUGUGUGUGUGUGUGUGUGUGUGUGUGUCCACACCUGGCGGCUGAUAAUUGAAGCAAAGCAGCGAGCUAGGACAGAGGAAACGAGGCAGCGGCGAAGGGAAGGAGGCACCGGACAGUAGAGACACUCCGCUUGUUGGAGUCUCACCGCCUGAAGCUUCGGUUUCAUUUUGCGUUGUUGUUUUUAUCGGUUUCGUGUCAUUUGUGUCCCUCAUAGUCUAUUUUGUUCCCGGUCACUUCUGCUCCUGGACCACGAAGCUGUCCGGUCAGAGGAACCGUCCCCCUGCAGCGGCUGGAAGACCACCGCCGUGGUCUAGAAACGGGACGGCGGGGCUGCGCGGCCCGUCCCGGCGGGCGCUUUCACGAGCGCGGCCACAAAGGGAAAUAGGACUUUCUUCCCCUGAAGCCCAGUCGGCGUGACGGAACGACGGUUCCGUGAAUGUCGGUGUUUAUUCUGCGCCGUGUGGUUUAACGGCGUGAACGCAGCUCAUGACACGUUAUGAAGAAACGAUUCGUUUCACUCAAGAAACAGUUAUUUAUUUCAUUAUCUUUUGAAUUGUGUGUUUCUUUUGAAGGCAGGAAGGAAGUUUGACUUCGGCGACGGUGAAAAUGAACAUUGUUGACCCUCGUAGACCAGCUGCUAUAAAGAAACCACAGAUCUGUAUCCGUCAAUAUUGAUCAGCAAUUCAUAGCGAAAAGACCUGAUCGGGGAUCUAAAAGUUGAAUACAUAAAACCUCCACAUGUCUCCAUGUAUCCAAGGGGGGGACAUCGCAUCUCAUCUCAUCUCAUCUCAUCUCAUCUCUCGUCGGCUGAUUCGCCUUCUGACAAACGUCCCCAAAGCCUCAUCAAUAAACGACGGUUUCAGGAGAGAAGUUACGCCGCGGAGCAGAUUCCGUCCGGUGUUUCGCUUCCUUCUCUUUUGUAAACAUUAUUGUUGGUUUCUUCUUCCAGUAACCUCCAUCUGUUCCUUCCCUCCACCUCCUCUCAUCGCGCGCUGGCAAAUGAAACUACAUUUUAUCUCCAGCGUCGUCCAAAAGGAACCAAACGUCGCCAGAAACUGCUCUAAAAAUAAUCAGCCACGGAGAUGAUUUAAUAAAUGUGAUUAAAGGCAUAAACAAGUACUCGCAUGUAUUAUUGUCGACUGUACAAACAAUACUCCAGUUGCCAUUUAGGGAGUUUUCUCUCCCGUUGUCGAGUUCUGAUGAAGCGAAGCAGCGUGAUUACAUCACAGCUGGAAACCGUGUUGUGAUCAAGUUACAGAUGAAUUCCAUCUGAAAUACUGUAGUUUUCAGUAAAUAAACACGCGCUGGAGUUCUCACUCUUCACCUAAAUGAUUUGUCCGUGAUGCUUUUCUUAUAAAAGUGAGGAGGACGUCACCAUUUAAGGAUUGAGAAUUAUGUACGUCUGUGUUGUCGACCUGUCAAUCAUCGUGUAGCCCCGCCCUGAAGCAUCAAAACGAAAGAUUGAGACCCAUUUUGGGGAUGGAUGACUUGUAGUAACUCACUUUUUAGGUGGACGGUUGCAAAAAGAAGGCGGUUCUUCUGAAGGGCGAGUAAAUGAAAGAGAAACAGACAAAGGGCCACAGAUGAACUCGGCCAGGGAGCGGAUCAGAAAUCAAAUUGAGCGUAAUGGCUCACUACUCGCACUACUUACACUUAAUAACGAUCUACAAAAUGUCUGAAAAUAAUUGAUCACCAAAUCUGCAGCUGCUCUCGACUCGGCUGAGCUUCGCAGGCUUCUGCUCGCGGUCGCUGGGAGUCGGUGGGGACCAAAGCCGGAGCUAAAAGGAAUCUCCACCUCGAGAACAUUGGUAUCAUCACUGAUACCUGAAUUCAUCCCAAGGCUUUAUUCUCAACCUGUGGCCAAAGAGGAUAUUCACUCGUUACAGAUGGAAGAUUGAAGCUGAUAUUAGGCACUGAACUACAAAUCAAACCUGAUAUUUGUCGUACUCUCCAGUGUCUCUUAUCGGUUCCUUCUGUUCCUCCUUAGUCUCUUUAUUGCCUCAGGCUUUUCUCUGUUCAUUCAGUUUGUCGCCGGGCUUUUCAGAUUCAUGUCUCUGUAAAGCUCUGAACCUUUUUACAAAGAAUGACUCACAGCAGGGAGUCUAUCACUGACUCCGGAUAACCUCUACAGGAGGUCUGAUGACCUCUAGAGAAGGACUGAUGACCUCUACAGGAGGACUGAUGACCUCUGGAGAAGGACUGAUGACCUCAACAGGAGGGCUGAUGACCUCUACAGGAGGACUGAUGACCUCUAGAGAAGGACUGAUGACUUCUAGAGAAGGACU
ensembl:lncRNA